CUGUGGGGUCUCUCUGCUAAGUAUGUAAAAACAGGAGUGAAUUUCAUCUGGUAGGAGUGGUUUGGGUGUGGUUCCGCCCGAAGAGAGGAAAGGAUUUCAGUGGGUUGUUUUAUGGGCAUAUUUAAAAGCCAGAAGUAGGAGAUUGCCAGGGUCCAACACUGUCUCUGCAGGAGAGUGGGGCUGUCAUCAGAAGCUGGGAAAUCUGCUGUGGUGACAUGCUCAAGCCACUUUUUCAGUCAGCUGUAGGGGGAGAAGGCGGAGGAAGGCUCCUUUUGAACCUACUCAGAGCUGCUUUUCCCCAUUUGAUAGAACAUUGCCAAGAGUGUCACCCAAAACCUCCCUCUACAGACAUACCCAGGAACUACCUGGAUAGCAUCCUUCAUCCAGAAUUCUUGUACCCCUCCCUCCCAAUCAGGGGUACCCUUGCCUCCCCCCACAGCCCUAUUUCCUGCUUUUUAAAAAAAAAUUUUUUUGA